rnacentral:rRNA from 1 species
AGCGAACGCUGGCGGCAGGCCUAACACAUGCAAGUCGAACGAACCUUUCGGGGUUAGUGGCGGACGGGUGAGUAACACGUGGGAACGUGCCGUUAGGUUCGGAAUAACUCAGGGAAACUUGUGCUAAUACCGAAUGUGCCCUUCGGGGGAAAGAUUAGUCGCAUUUAGAGCGGCCCGCGUCCGAUUAGCUAGUUGGUGGAGGUAAUGGCGCACCAAGGCGACGAUCAGUAGCUGGUCUGAGAGGAAGAUCAGCCACAUUGGGACUGAGACACGGCCGAAACUCCUACGGGAGGCAGGAGAGGGGAAUCUUGCGAAAUGGGGGAAAGCCUGACGCAGCCAUGCCGCGUGAAUGAUGAUGGUGUGAGGAUUGUAAAAUUCUUUCACCGGGGACGAUAAUGACGGUACCCGGAGAAGAAGCCCCGGCUAACUUCGUG